CCUACGGGAGGCAGCAGUGAGGAAUAUUGGUCAAUGGGCGUAAGCCUGAACCAGCCAAGUCGCGUGAGGGAUGAAGGUUCUAUGGAUCGUAAACCUCUUUUAUAAGGGAAUAAAGUGCGGGACGUGUCCCGUUUUGUAUGUACCUUAUGAAUAAGGAUCGGCUAACUCCGUGCCAGCAGCCGCGGUAAUACGGAGGAUCUGAGCGUUGUCCGGAUUUAUUGGGUUUAAAGGGUGCGUAGGCGGCCUUUUAAGUCAGGGGUGAAAGUCUGUGGCUCAACCAUAGAAUUGCCGUUGAAACUGGGAGGCUUGAGUAUGUUUGAGGCAGGGGGAAUGCGUGGUGUAGCGGUGAAAUGCUUAGAUAUCACGCAGAACCCCGAUUGCGAAGGCAGCCUGCUAAGCCAUGACUGACGCUGAUGCACGAAAGCGUGGGGAUCAAACAGGAUUAGAUACCCGAGUAGUC
rnacentral:rRNA from 1 species